GAAGGGAUGGCUCAGUGGUUAAGAGCACUGGCUGUUCUUCCAGAGGACCUGAGUUCAAGUCCCAGUACCCACA
rnacentral:tRNA from 1 species